AAGUCGUAACAAGGUUUCCGUAGGUGAACCUGCGGAAGGAUCAUUAACACGUAUCCAACGUUAAACAACCCUGUGAACCUUCAUUCCUGCUCUCCUCGUCCCUUGAUAAAGCAAUCCCUGGUAAAUCACGCGAACAGUUUGAUUCAGGGACCUCUUUUGAUACGCACUUGGAUUCGAACAAUGGAUAUCUUGGUUCUC
rnacentral:misc_RNA from 1 species